rnacentral:rRNA from 1 species
AUUGAACGCUAGCGGGAUGCCUUACACAUGCAAGUCGAACGGCAGCAUAAGAGAGCUUGCUCUCUUGAUGGCGAGUGGCGAACGGGUGAGUAAUGUAUCGGAACGUGCCCAGUAGCGGGGGAUAACUACGCGAAAGCGUAGCUAAUACCGCAUACGCCCUACGGGGGAAAGGAGGGGAUCCGCAAGGACCUUUCACUAUUGGAGCGGCCGAUUAGGUAGUUGGUGAGAUAACAGCCCACCAAGCCGACGAUCGGUAGCCGGACUGAGAGGUUGAUCGGCCACAUUGGGACUGAGACACGGCCCAG